AACAGAGUACUAGACCACAACCUACACACACCAGGAGACAUGAGUGGGGGGCAGAGAGCUUUCUUACUGGCUGGCUCAUAGUUGAGUGGUCUGCACACUGGCCCAGUGCAGUCAGUGUCUGUGAAAAUGGACACAGAUUUUUCCCUUUCGAGACACACACUCCUUGACACUGAGGAGUGGCUGCGUACUUUCCCAGCCCUUGAUUCUGGAUUAGCCUUCAAGCUUAUGUAGAUGUGACAGAGCACAGGACCCCAACCUAGGCCUCAAGAGGCUGUGUCCCCUCGUGGCAGCGAGCUUCGGCUGGUGGAUCAUAUUGGGCAGAGAGAAAACAUCGUUGUUCCAGAAGCCGAGAUUCAGUCUUGCCUGCUCUGUUUAUGGUCAGCUAGCGUUCAGCACGUUUUGGAUCUCUCUGAUGAUCUUACUCAGGGAUGUAGUGAGAACUAAAGAAGGCAAGGCAGGAAAGCACCGGUGUGAAGUAGCUGUCGGGAAGGCCAUUUUAUUGGCUGUUUUCAAGCC
rnacentral:lncRNA from 1 species